rnacentral:rRNA from 1 species
CAAAAACAUGUCUUUUUGAUUAUAAUUUAAAGUCUAACCUGCCCAAUGAGGAGUUAAAUGGCCGCGGUAAUUUGACCGUGCAAAGGUAGCAUAAUCAUUAGUUUUUUAAUUGAAAGCUGGAAUGAAUGGUUGGACGAGAAAAUAACUGUCUCAAUUUAAUUGGAAUUAGAAUUUUAUUUAUAAGUAAAAAAGCUUAUAUGAAUUUAAAAGACGAGAAGACCCUUUAGAAUUUAAUAUAUUAAUAUGUUUAUUAUUUUAGAAUUUUUAUUUAUAUAUAUAGAAGUAUAUUUUGUUGGGGCGAUAGAAAAAUUAAUUAAACUUUUUUUAUAUUUUAACAUUAAUGUAUGUGUAAAUGAUCCGUUUAUUACGAUUAAAAGAUUAAAUUACCUUAGGGAUAACAGCGUAAUUUUUUUUUAGAGUUCUUAUCGAAAAAAGAGUUUGCGACCUCGAUGUUGGAUUAAAAUUAACUUUUGGUGUAGGGGCU